GAUGAACGCUGGCGGCGUGCCUAAUACAUGCAAGUCGAGCGAACAGACGAGGAGCUUGCUCCUCGGACGUUAGCGGCGGACGGGUGAGUAACACGUGGAUAACCUACCUAUAAGACUGGGAUAACUUCGGGAAACCGGAGCUAAUACCGGAUAAUAUAUUGAACCGCAUGGUUCAAUAGUGAAAGACGGUUUUGCUGUCACUUAUAGAGGGAUCCGCGCCGCAUUAGCUAGUUGGUAAGGUAACGGCUUACCAAGGCAACGAUGCGUAGACGACCUGAGAGGGUGAUAGGCGACACUGGAACUGAGACACGGUCCAGACUACUAAGGGAGGCAGCAGUAGGGAAUCUGCCGCAAUGGGCGAAAGCAUGACGGAGCAACGCCGCGUGAGUGAUGACGGUCUUCGGAUCGUAAAACUCUGUUAUUAGGGAAGAACAAAUGUGUAAGUAACUAUGCACGUCUUGACGGUACCUAAUCAGAAAGCCACGGCUAACUACGUG
rnacentral:rRNA from 1 species